rnacentral:lncRNA from 1 species
GGAUGAAAAAAAAAAAAAAACUACUGCCUUUCAUUUCUCUACUCUUCCGACAACUCUGAGAACAAUGGUUCCUGAGAGUGACAAUAUCUGAGGAAAGAGCAGGUCCUGCAACCAACGAGAAAUUCUCCUGCAGCAUUUCAAAGCAGGCAAGAUGGAGAGUAUUUGAGCGGUCAAAUAGAGGAUAUGAGAAGAAAAAAAGAAUAACUUCUAUGUGGAAAAGGAUUGAGGUUGCUAACGUUUGAAGAAAAUGUACUACUGACACUUGGGGAUUGUAGAGCUUCUAUGGUGCCAAGAUAAUAUUCUGUGCUUGUAUUGCUAUUAUCUAAAUGCACAAUGGGAAUCGAUACCAUGCGUUUCUAACAUCCUUAAGGGCAAGGUAGUACACUCUAUGAAGGAUAUUGUGAUUACUGCCUGCACUGUGGAAAAAGCACAGAAGGAGACAAGAAAUACAAUAAUCUGUAAAACAAACUGAAGCCUAAUCAAAAGCACAGAUAACCUUGCAGAAGACAGACAAUGAUGGAAACCUCCUGACCCCUUCUACCUCUUCAUCAGAACCAAAAUUUACCUCUGUUUCCUCCUUACGCACUCUAAUAAUCUGCCAUGAGACGGGAUGUUAGAAGUUACAUCACAAGAGGAGGGAAUGAAGAAUUUGGUAGCACUGAGGUGCUGGAAGAGGGAUAGAGAGCACCGUGAGAGCGGUGUGGAGGAUUGCUGUAAUGUGACUGUGGAAGCCAAGCCAGGAGGAUGAGGUUCCAAGUGCAGUAACCUUGCUCAGGCACAAGAUGAUGGACUAGAGGAGGCACUCCCAAUCACUGUUACCCCAUGGACUCUGUAUGGUUAACAAAUAUCACUUAAAUUUAAAUUAAGCAGAUAAUUAAAAUAAGUUAUGUCUAUAACUGUGUGAGUUUGAUUACUUAAGGCUUUUAUUUGGGGGUGCUAUAGCAUCCUCCCUUUUCAUUGCAGAGUCACGGAAUAGGGUUACAGGGUUAUACUAUUAGUAAUAUAAAAGAAUUUCUGCACUUGAUUGUCAAUUAACAUCUCUUAGUAACCCUCCACUAAACAGGAAGCCCAGGGACCUAGAAUGUCCAGUAUGAGGGAGUGGGUAGGAAGUAGUAGUCUUCAUGCAGAAAUGCAUACCCAUUCAGAAAAGCGGC